rnacentral:lncRNA from 12 species
CUUAUUAUUUCUUACUGUUCUACUCAGAUUUCAAUGGUAAAAAUAAAUUCGCUUAGCCUGAGUCAAUUUUCCCCAUAACAGUAAUUGCUGAGUGGUCUUCCUGUCAUUAUGUCAUAAGCCCUUAAUCAUAUUUUUGCACCUUUUCUAGUGGAGGGGCAGUCAUGGAUCAACUUUGUGGCCAUCUUGCAGUAAGUGAAGCUCACGACUACACUGAUGCUUAUCUUUUGCAUUGACUAAGUUGGGAGAACAAGCCAAGAGUGAAAUUUAGUGUCAUAUGACAGAGCCAAAAUGUUGGAUGACAUCAAAAAGCGAUUUGAAUUUCCUAAUGCAGUUGUUCAGUCACAGGCGGUGGGCCAUCUGAUUGCUGCAGUACUGAAAGAAAAAGUUUCUUCAAAGAAGAUCAGGCAGGCUUCUGACCAGGUCUGUGGCAUUUUUUCAUUUUUGCCUCUUCUCUCAUCCUCAUGUGAUUAUUCUAUGUGCUUUUU